rnacentral:rRNA from 1 species
UAAUGUAAUCCUACAAUGUUAAUGCACUAGAUCCCAUUAGAACUAUGUAGUUAAACACACUUGGGCUAGAGUGGUAUUGGGAUGGGUGACCUCCCAGGAAGUCCUAGUGCUUUACAUGCC